rnacentral:tRNA from 1 species
GACCUCGUGGCGCAACGGUAGCGCGUCUGACUCCAGAUCAGAAGGUUGCAUGUUCAAUCAAGUCGUGGUCA